rnacentral:rRNA from 1 species
AUACGUAGGGAGCGAGCGUUGUCCGGAUUUACUGGGUGUAAAGGGUGCGUAGGCGGGACUGCAAGUCAGACGUGAAAUACCGGGGCUUAACCUCGGGGCUGCGUUUGAAACUGCGGUUCUUGAGUGAAGUAGAGGCAGGCGGGAUUCCUAGUGUAGCGGUGAAAUGCGUAGAUAAUAGGAGGAACACCAGUGGCGAAGGCGGCCUGCUGGGCUUUAACUGACGCUGAAGCACGAAAGCAUGGGGAGCAAACAGGAUUAGAUACCCUGGUAGUCCAUGCCGUAAACGAUGAUAGCUAGGUGUGGGGGGACUGACCCCUUCCGUGCCGCAGCAAACGCAAUAAGCUAUCCACCUGGGGAGUACGACCGCAAGGUUGA